rnacentral:rRNA from 1 species
GAUGAACGCUGGCGGCGUGCCUAAUACAUGCAAGUCGAGCGAACAGACGAGGAGCUUGCUCCUCUGACGUUAGCGGCGGACGGGUGAGUAACACGUGGAUAACCUACCUAUCAGACUGGGAUAACUUCGGGACACCGGAGCUAAUACCGGAUAAUAUAUUGAACCGCAUUGUUCAAUAGUGAAAGACGGUUUUGCUGUCACUUAUAGAUGGAUCCGCGCCGCAUUAGCUAGUUGGUAAGGUAACGGCUUACCAAGGCAACGAUGCGUAGCCGACCUGAGAGGCUGAUCGGCCACACUAGAACUGAGCCACGGUCCAGACGCCUACGGGAGGCAGCAGUAGGGAAUCGUACGCAAUGGGCGGAAGCAUGACGGAGCAACGCGGCGUGAGUGAUGAAGGUCUUCGGAUCGUAAUACUCUGUUAUUGGUGAAGAACAAAUGUGUAAGUAACUAUGCACGUCUUGACGGUACCGAAUCAGAAAGCCACGGCUAACUACGUG